AGGGUCUUCAAUCUAAAGCAGCAGCCAUUAAAGCCAAGCCAGUAAGUACUUGUUUUGUUCUUCUCUCUCUUUCUCUUUCUCUUUCUCUCUCUCUCUUUUUCUCUUCGAUCAACCCAAAGAACACCGAAUUAAAGAGCGUGUUGACAAUGGACUGAACCAAAUUUAUUAUGAGAUAAGGCUCUUGUGAACACUACCACUUCUACAAAAGCUAGCCAAUAGAAGAAAAAAACCACAGAUCGAUGAGUCAAAUCUGUAUGUAUGACUGAAAAAAGAAGAGGUAGCUAGCAGAUCAUAUAUAGCUAUAUAUGUGAAUAUAUAUUAUAUAAGAAUAAGAUGUAAAAUAAUAUGUUAUGUAGCAAAAAGGAAAGAAAGAGGCGCCGGUAAGAGAGAAUAUAAAAGUGGAAUAAGCUGACAGAAAGAGAAGUGAGCACGCACCGUCAACAAGAAAGAAAAAAAAACCUAGCUAGAAGAGAAGCUUUCAAGAAAGAAGAGAACAAAAAGAAGAAGAAGAAGAAGAAGAGGCAUAUGUGUGGAGAUGAUGGAAAAGGACUAGUUUCAUGAAAUAAAGAGGCACCAGGUAUAGAGUGACAGACUUGUGAAGAAAGAGAAAUUCAAGGAAAAUAAAAACAAAAAAGAACAAUAAAUAAGAGGCCACAGUUUCUAUAUGCUCCUUUCUAUACUCCUCAAAAUCUGAGGCACUUCAAUCAUUUUUUUUCCAUUUUUUUUCACUAUUUUCCUUUAUUUAGUUCUUGAAUUUUAAAAUAUUUUUUCUACCCUGUACUAUUAUUAUUAGUUUUGGUUUUAUAGUAAUAAAUUAAAGCUCAUUGAUCGA